GACUCUUUGGCCGAGCGGUUAAGGCGCUUCCCUGCUAAAGUUUGCGUCAAGCUUUGUGAGGAAGUUCCCUCUGGGAGCACAGGUUCAAAUCCUGUAGGAGUCG